AUGGAUUGGAAACCUAUGGUGACGAUGUUGGCGGUGGUCACCGUGUUCGCGGUGAUGAACACGCUGACAAAGAUGGCUUUUAACGAAGGGAUGCACACCACCGUCCUCAUCGUCCUCCGCCAGCUCACCGCCACGCUCUUCCUCGCCCCGAUCGCCUACUUCAAAGAGAGGAAGACUAGGCCUAAGAUGACCACAGAGAUCUUCGUCUACCUCUUCUUGAGUGCCUUGCUCGGAGCGUCCCUAACCCAGUGGCUCUUCUUCUUUGGCCUGCGGUACACGACGGCGACGUUCGCGAGCGCCUUCAUCAACAUGACCCCCAUGUUCACCUUCCUGCUGGCGCUGCCCUUCAAGAUCGAGAAGCUCGACGUGGCCACCGGCUCCGGCGCAGCCAAGCUCACCGGCACGGCCGUGGGGCUGGCCGGAGCGAUUUUGAUGGCGCUCUACCAAGGCCCGGCCCUGACGGGGGCGCCGACGACGGACCAUCAUGCUGCUGCCGGUGCCCAUGGUGGAGGCGCGUGGAGGUGGGCGAUCGGGUCGGCGGCGCUGCUGGGCGGCUCGGCGAGCUGGUCGCUGUGGUUUAUAUUACAGUCCAAGAUCGGCACCAAGUACCCCGCUCUCUACUCCAGCACGGCGUGGACGUUCCUGCUGAGCACGGCGCAGAUGGCGGCCGUCGGGGCGGCGACGGAGGCGAUGACCCUCCAGGUGUGGCUCCCCGGCACGGCGCUGAAGGCCGUGACGGUGCUGUUCGUGGGAGUGGUGGGGUCCGGGCUGGGUUUCCUGGCCAUGUCGUGGUGCGUGGAGCGGCGCGGGCCCGUGUUCACCACGGCGUUCAUGCCGCUCAUCCAGAUGAUCGCCGCCGGGAUCAACGUGACGGUGCUCCGCGAGCAGCUCCACCUCGGGAGCGUGGUCGGGUCGGCGCUCGUCGUCGUGGGGCUCUACUUGGUCCUCUGGGGGAAGAGCAACGAGGCGAGCAGCAAAUCCAAGUUGCCUCCUCCGUCAAAUUCCAAGCUCGCGUUGGAUGAGGAAGCAGAGCAUGGCGGUGAUUCACGGAUCAUGCAGAGUGUGUGA
rnacentral:rRNA from 1 species